AUGGUGAAGGGCUCCGGCAAUCCAGGGUUCGGACGGGGCGGCGGCGGCUCUGCCAAGCCCGCAGCACCCCGCGCUCCCCCGGCUCAGCUCGGCGCGGCUCAGCUCGGCGCGCCCGGAGCCCGUCCCCCGCCCCAGCCCGCCCGAGCCCCGCUCGCCGCCUGCCUGCCUGCCCCGUUCCUAGUGGGUUGCCUCGGUCCUGCGUGCCGUAUAUAUACACCCCCGCAGCAGGGCCGGGGAUCGCCCUCUAGUGUCCUGCUGGGAACCUCUGACCACCGCGCCCCGGGUCUUAGCGCCCCGGCCCGGCCAUCCGUCCUCCCCCGGGAGCUUCGCUCUCACCGAGCCCCGCGCUGGGCCCUGCGCUCCGCCCGCCCGCGGAGCCUCUGGGGGCUCGGAGACCGAAGCGCCCGGUCCCGUUCCACCGGGGAAGAGCCCCGAAGUUCACCAUCACGCGCGAACUCGCGGACGCUGGGCCGGAUGGGACGCCGUGCCGGCCCGCGGGGCCCAAGGCGCCGUCCCAGCGGAGCUACCGGAGCUCGGCCCGGUUCGACGCGCGGGGUUCAUCAGUUGAGUCCCGUGGGGACCCGCGGAGCGCGGCCCCGAGCGGCGCUAGGACCCGGCCGGGAGAGCGCCCGGCGGGGCGGGGCUGCGGGGCUCCUCGCUGCGGGACGGGGCCGGGGGCAGUGCCGGGCCGGGACGCGCUGCCGCUGCCCCGCGGCUUCCACCGUGCGCUGGCGGACGGGGGAUGAACGCGCGGGGCUGCCCCUCCGUCCCGUCCCGUCCCGUCCCGCGGCGCGAAUCGGGCAGGUAAAUUUAAUCACGGAUUUCCCCAAGUGCAAACACCGCAAUCUCGGGCUGUGUCGGGCGCGGACCGGCUCCCGGCGUUUACCCGAGAUAAGCCCCGGGAGUGCGGCAGCGUGCCGCUCGGAAGGCGAAACGCCGGGGCUCAGCUCCGAGUCCCCCCAGGGCAGCUCCGGGGAGAGCCGCGGCCCGAGGAGCCCGUGCUCCCCGCCCGGGACGGAUUGGGGGCACGGAACUGCCGCCUCCCCGCCCGGCCGUACCUGUCGGCCCCUAGAUCCGCUGGCCCCGGUUGCUCGGAAAGCAGCACAGGGGAUGGAAGGACGCACCGAGGCCGGUGAAGCAGGUGCAGACAGUGGCGAGAAGGAGAUCCGCAGAGAAAACCCCAAUAUAGCUAUGGCUACCGAAAGAAUUGCCACAUUUCUUAGUCCUGGGUGGCUGAAUGAACCAGAAGCUUGUGAUAUCAGAUUGCUUGCUCAGAAUUCCUUGCAAUUCAUAGUGACUGGCAAAGCCUUAGGAACAAAAUCACCACGAACCAAGAGCCACCUUUGGGGUCACACACGUGAGCCUCUGCUCCCCAUGCAGACACGAGGCCAGCAGCCAGCACAGCCUUCUGUGCUGAGCUGUCCUUACAGGAGAGCGUGUUUGGUGGGAAAUGUUCAUACAGAACACAGAACACGCAGAUUCUAUGCUUCUUUGAACAUACCUUUCACCUUUCAGUGUCAAUAG
rnacentral:lncRNA from 1 species